AUGGUGGAAAGCUCUUGGCUGCUCCUCCUUGGCUCUCCAGGACAAGGUGCAACCUGGAUUUUGGUGAUGCAGAGCUGGGAAUCAUCCAUCACUGGGACAAUUUCCACCCAGGGACGUCACUGAGGAAGCAGAGAUGCAGGUAAACCCCCCCCCCAUCACAGGCACUGGGCUUGUUUAUUCUGAAUUUCACACCAAUACAAGGAGUUGGGAUGCAGCAGAGAGAUCCCUGAAAGUGGAUCUGGGAAUAUGAAGAGCCAGAACUGGACUCAUGGUGGGUGUGGGGCUGAGGUGACCCCAGCACCGAUCCUGGGUGAGGACAGCACCAAGUGCAGAGCUCUGGAGGCAGGGAAGCACCUUCUUGAGUAUCCAGAGGAGGCUCUGGGGUGAAUUUUAAUUUCUUUCCGUUUUUGUUGUUGAUUUUUAGAGCGCUUGGCACCUCCUGCCUCUUUUUCAUCACUUUCCUCCUUGAUUCGCUCCAAAUGAGCAGGAAGCAAGGCUGCUGACCGUGGAUCUUCCCAGCAAUGCCACUGCUGUCCUGUCCACCCCACGGUCAGGGUGAAGUCUGACAUCCAUCCACGGCUGAGCUGGUGCAUCCGUGAGGUGAGAGUGGCCACCGGCAGCCCCAGGGAAGAGGCCCCAAUUUCUCCCCCUGUCGAGGCGAACGCUUGGGCUAAUUAGCAAAACGUGUCAAAGAAAAUGAUUAAUGUCCCGGGAGGAGGCUGAGCUGCCUUUGUGCCGGCAUUGCCUGACUUCUGCUCUUAAAGGUUUUAUUAAAAGAUAAGGGAGCUCGUGACGGGGAACCUCUCGUGCUGCUGAUUCAGAAAUAAACCUGAGGAGUGGUUGGCAGUGAAGGCAGCGGUGAGGAGACGUGCAGAGCCCGGGGCUUGCAGGGGAGUUUUGAGGAGACUGGGAAAAGAAGCGCCCUCCCCUUGGAAGCGGAGGGGUUUGAGCUCUCGCCUCUGACGCAGUUUUGCUCCCAGAUAUAAAUAAAAACAUAAAUAUAUAUAU